AACACGUGGGCAAUCUGCCCUGCACUCUGGGACAAGCCCUGGAAACGGGGUCUAAUACCGGAUACUGACCUGCCAAGGCAUCUUGGCGGGUCGAAAGCUCCGGCGGUGCAGGAUGAGCCCGCGGCCUAUCAGCUUGUUGGUGAGGUAAUGGCUCACCAAGGCGACGACGGGUAGCCGGCCUGAGAGGGCGACCGGCCACACUGGGACUGAGACACGGCCCAGACUCCUACGGGAGGCAGCAGUGGGGAAUAUUGCACAAUGGGCGAAAGCCUGAUGCAGCGACGCCGCGUGAGGGAUGACGGCCUUCGGGUUGUAAACCUCUUUCAGCAGGGAAGAAGCGAAAGUGACGGUACCUGCAGAAGAAGCGCCGGCUAACUACGUGCCAGCAGCCGCGGUAAUACGUAGGGCGCAAGCGUUGUCCGGAAUUAUUGGGCGUAAAGAGCUCGUAGGCGGCUUGUCGCGUCGGUUGUGAAAAGCCCGGGGCUUAACCCCGGGUCUGCAGUCGAUACGGGCAGGCUAGAGUUCGGUAGGGGAGAUCGGAAUUCCUGGUGUAGCGGUGAAAUGCGCAGAUAUCAGGAGGAACACCGGUGGCGAAGGCGGAUCUCUGGGCCGAUACUGACGCUGAGGAGCGAAAGCGUGGGGAGCGAACAGGAUUAGAUACCCUGGUAGUCCACGCCGUAAACGGUGGGCACUAGGUGUGGGCAACAUUCCACGUUGUCCGUGCCGCAGCUAACGCAUUAAGUGCCCCGCCUGGGGAGUACGGCCGCAAGGCUAAAACUCAAAGGAAUUGACGGGGGCCCGCACAAGCGGCGGGAGCAUGUGGCUUAAUUCGACGCAACGCGAAGAACCUUACCAAGGCUUGACAUACACCGGAAACCUUCAGAGAUGGGCCCCCCCUUGUGGUCGGUGUACAGGUGGUGCAUGGGGCUGUCGUCAGCUCGUGUCGUGAGAUGUUGGGUUAAGUCCCGCAACGAGCGCAACCCUUGUCCCGUGUUGCCAGCAACUCUUCGGAGGUUGGGGACUCACGGGAGACCGCCGGGGUCAACUCGGAGGAAGGUGGGGACGACGUCAAGUCAUCAUGCCCCUUAUGUCUUGGGCUGCACACGUGCUACAAUGGCCGGUACAAUGAGCUGCGAUACCGCAAGGUGGAGCGAAUCUCAAAAAGCCGGUCUCAGUUCGGAUUGGGGUCUGCAACUCGACCCCAUGAAGUCGGAGUCGCUAGUAAUCGCAGAUCAGCAUUGCUGCGGUGAAUACGUUCCCGGGCCUUGUACACACCGCCCGUCACGUCACGA
rnacentral:rRNA from 1 species